UAUCGCCGCCACAUCGGCUAGCGAGGAGGCCGCAGCUGCCAAAUUUGGUGACCCCGGGCUCCUUGUUGGUGGAUCCAGUUGGCCGGA
rnacentral:pre_miRNA from 1 species